rnacentral:rRNA from 2 species
UACGGAGGGUGCAAGCGUUAUCCGGAUUCACUGGGUUUAAAGGGUGCGUAGGUGGGUUGGUAAGUCAGUGGUGAAAUCUCCAGGCUUAACUUGGAAACUGCCAUUGAUACUAUCAAUCUUGAAUACCGUGGAGGUCAGCGGAAUAUGUCAUGUAGCGGUGAAAUGCUUAGAUAUGACAUAGAACACCAAUUGCGAAGGCAGCUGGCUACGCGGAUAUUGACACUGAUGCACGAAAGCGUGGGGAUCAAACAGG